rnacentral:rRNA from 1 species
GAUGAACGCUGACGGCGUGCCUAAUACAUGCAAGUCGAGCGAACAGACGAGGAGCUUGCUCCUCUGACGUUAGCGGCGGACGGGUGAGUAACACGUGGAUAACCUACCUAUAAGACUGGGAUAACUUCGGGAAACCGGAGCUAAUACCGGAUAAUAUAUUGAACCGCAUGGUUCAAUAGUGAAAGACGGUUUUGCUGUCACUUAUAGAUGGAUCCGCGCCGCAUUAGCUAGUUGGUAAGGUAACGGCUUACCAAGGCGACGAUGCGUAGCCGACCUGAGAGGGUGGUCGGCCACACUGGAACUGAGACACGGUCCAGACUCCUACGGGAGGCAGCAGUAGGGAAUCUUCCGCAAUGGGCGAAAGCCUGACGGAGCAACGCCGCGUGAGUGAUGAAGGUCUUCGGAUCGUAAAACUCGGUUAUUAGGGAAGAACAAAUGUGUAAGUAACUAUGCACGUCUUGACGGUACCUAAUCAGAAAGCCACGGCUAACUACGUG